CCAACCUCGGCUACCCCCAACCCCGCCGCCGCCGCCGCUCUGAUCAAAAAAAAAAAAAACCCCCGCCGCCGCCUGCCGGCCUUCCGCCAUCGCCCUUCCCACAGCGUGUGCCCACGGAUCACAACCGUCGCCGCGCUGCCCUCCUCCCCCCACGCCAUGCUAGUGUCUUCCAGGCAACAGAUGCGCCAGGGAUGGGGCCGUUGAGUGCCAUGCCAGGUGCCGACGUGUGGAUUUCUUGGGGUGACCUCUCCAAUUAUUUGACAGCCACCCAGGCUACCAUCCGAGAAUCUUUGGUCUAGGUGGUUUGCUGCAUAUGCCCUUGGAAGCAAUGACAGUGUUUCUCAUAUCAAUAAUGUUUACUUUGGAAGCAAUAAAGUGACUUCGGCCAACAUUUCUAUUGUUGUUAGUGUGGGAAAUACAAUCUUAUACCUGGAUGCUGUUAUGAUAUUUUGCCGGUGUGUGAGACUAGGAAGAUAGAUUCUUGGGUCCUUCACAUACUUUGCCCACACGCAA